UACAGAGGUGGCAAGCGUUGUUCGGAAUUACUGGGCGUAAAGGGCGCGUAGGCGGCCUUCUAAGUCAGACGUGAAAUCCCCCGGCUUAACCUGGGAACUGCGUCUGAUACUGGAGGGCUUGAGUGCGGGAGAGGGAUGUGGAAUUCCAGGUGUAGCGGUGAAAUGCGUAGAUAUCUGGAGGAACACCGGUGGCGAAGGCGGCAUCCUGGACCGACACUGACGCUGAGGAGCGAAAGCGUGGGGAGCGAACAGG
rnacentral:rRNA from 1 species